rnacentral:tRNA from 1 species
GGCCGGCUGGUCUAACGGAAUGACGCUCCUUUUUCUCAUAUGGGCCCGGAGCAGUGUGGGUUCGAAUCCCGCGCUGGUCG